CAGCGCCGCAAGUGGGAAUCACAUUUAUUGGGCCUAAAGCGUCCGUAGCCGGUUUGGUAAAUCUUUUGUGAAAUUGUUGGGCCUAACUCAACAACGUGCAUGAGACACUGCCAGACUUGGAACCGGGAGGAGUCAGAAGUAUUCCGGGGGGAGCGGUAAAAUGUUAUAAUCUCUGGAGGACUACCUGUGGCGAAGGCGUCUGACCAGAACGGAUCUGACGGUGAGGGACGAAAGCUAGGGGAGCGAACCGGAUUAGAUACCCGAGUAGUCC
rnacentral:rRNA from 1 species